rnacentral:rRNA from 1 species
GACGAACGCUGGCGGCGUGCCUAAUACAUGCAAGUCGAACGCAGGGGGGACGGGUGAGUAACACGUGGGUAACCUCCCAUCAGAGGGGAUAACACUUGGAAAAAGGUGCUAAACCCAAACUGAUGGAUGUACCCGGGGUGCAUUCGCUAGUGGGUGGGGUAGCGGCGCACCAAGGCUACGAUGCAUAGCCGACCUGAGAGGGUGACCAGCCACACUGGAACUGAGACACGGCCCAGACUCCUACGGGAGGCAGCAGUAGGGAAUCUUCGGCAAUGGACGAAAGUCUGACCGAGCAACGCCGCGUGAGUGAAGAAGGUUUUCGGGUCGUAAAACUCUGUUGUUAGGGAAGCGGUAUCUAACGAGGAAGCCCCGGCUAACUCCGUGCCAGCAGCCGCGGUAAUAC